AGGCUUUUAUUCUGCCAAGUCAUUUCAAAUACAUGAAAAAUCUUACACUGGAGAGAAGCUCUAUGAAUGUAAGCAAUUUGGUAAAGCCUUUUUUUCUUUCACUUCCUUUUGAUAUCAUGAAAGGACUUAUACUGGAGAGAACCCCUAUGAGUAUAAGCAAUGUGGGAAAGCCUUCACAUCUACCUCACACCUUCGAAAGCAUGGUAGGACUCACACUGGAGAGAAACCCUAUGAAUGUAAGCAAUGUGGGAAAGGCUUCAGAUCUGUCAAAAAUCUUUGAAUUCAUAAAAGGACACACUGGAGAGAAACCCUAUGAAUGUAAGGAAUGUGGAAAAGUGUUCCAUAAUUUCUCUUCUUUGCAAAUACAUGAAAGGAUGCGCAGAGGAGAGAAGCCCUAUGAAUGUAAGCAUUGUGGGAAAGCAUACACAUCUGCCAAGAUCCUUUGAAUACAUGCAAGAACACACACUGGAGAGAAACCCUAUGAAUGUGAAGAAUGCAGAAAAGCAUUCAGCUUGCCUAUUUACUUUCAUAGACAUGAAAAGACUCAUACUUGAAGGAAACCCUAUGAAGGCAAGCAAUGUGGCAAAGUUUUCACUUCCAGUUCUUUUCAAUAUCAUAAACUCACUGUAGGGAGAAACCCUAUCAAUGUAAUCAAUGUGCAAAAGCCUUUAUUCCACUUCUUUUCAAUAUCAUGAAAGGACUCACACAGGAGAGAAACCCUAUGAGUGUAUGCAGUGUGGGAAAGCGUUCAUUUCUUCUAGUUCCCUUCGAUAUCAUGAAAGAACACAUGGGAGAGAAGCCCUGUGAAUGUAAGCAAUGUGAAAAGCCUUCAGAUCAGCCUCACACCUUCAAAUCCAUGGAAGGACUCACACUCAAGAGAAACCCUAUGAAUGUAAACAGUAUGGGAAAGCAUUCAGACCUGACAAGAUUCUUUGAAUACAGAUAAGGAAUGUAAACAAUUAACUGUUUAUAAUAACUGUAUACUAACAAAUGUUAUUCCUUUUAAAUAAUUAAGAAGCUAUAAUACCC